rnacentral:rRNA from 1 species
AGAGUUUGAUCAUGGCUCAGAGCGAACGCUGGCGGCAGGCUUAACACAUGCAAGUCGAACGGAUCCUUCGGGAUUAGUGGCGGACGGGUGAGUAACACGUGGGAACGUGCCUUUAGGUUCGGAACAACACAGGGAAACUUGUGCUAAUACCGGAUAAGCCCUUCGGGGGAAAGAUUUAUCGCCUUUAGAGCGGCCCGCGUCUGAUUAGCUAGUUGGUAAGGUAAAAGCUUACCAAGGCGACGAUCAGUAGCUGGUCUGAGAGGAUGGCCAGCCACAUUGGGACUGAGACACGGCCCAAACUCCUACGGGAGGCAGCAGCGGGGAAUCUUGCGCAAUGGGCGAAAGCCUGACGCAGCCAUGCCGCGUGGAUGAUGAAGGUCUUAGGAUUGUAAAAUCCUUUCAGCGGGGACGAUAAUGACGGUACCCGCAGAAGAAGCCCCGGCUAACUUCGUGCCAGCAGCCGCGGUAAUAC